rnacentral:rRNA from 1 species
UAGGGAAUCUUCCACAAUGGACGCAAGUCUGAUGGAGCAACGCCGCGUGAAUGAAGAAGGUCUUCGGAUCGUAAAGCUCUGUUGUUGGUGAAGAAGGAUAGAGGCAGUAACUGGUCUUUAUUUGACGGUAAUCAACCAGAAAGUCACGGCUAACUACGUGCCAGCAGCCGCGGUAAUACGUAGGUGGCAAGCGUUGUCCGGAUUUAUUGGGCGUAAAGCGAGCGCAGGCGGAAUGAUAAGUCUGAUGUGAAAGCCCACGGCUCAACCGUGGAACUGCAUCGGAAACUGUCAUUCUUGAGUGCAGAAGAGGAGAGUGGAACUCCAUGUGUAGCGGUGGAAUGCGUAGAUAUAUGGAAGAACACCAGUGGCGAAGGCGGCUCUCUGGUCUGCAACUGACGCUGAGGCUCGAAAGCAUGGGUAGCGAACAGGAUUAGAUACCCUGGUAGUCCAUGCCGUAAACGAUGAGCGCUAGGUGUUGGGGACUUUCCGGUCCUCAGUGCCGCAGCAAACGCAUUAAGCGCUCCGCCUGGGGAGUACGACCGCAAGGUUGAAAC